rnacentral:tRNA from 1 species
UUAGUUUUAGUAGUUUAUUUAAAACAUUGGUCUUGUAAACCAAAAUAGAGAAUACUUUCUCCUUAAACU